UCCCUGGUGGCUCAGAGGGUAAAGCGUCUGCCUGCAAUGUAGGAGACCUUGGUUCGAUCCCUGGGUCGGGAA
rnacentral:tRNA from 1 species